GAAAGUCUUUACAGCUCACUGACAGCAGAAAGUUAGCCAUCCCAAAGUCUUUGAAAACCUGGCUACAUUGUCACCUUAAGCUUAGGAAGCCAAAAUUCAAUAUGGACAUAGAAAUAUCUCUUUUUUAGGGGGAGAAUUCCAGAGUAGCUGAUAAAUUGUAUUAUUUUUUGGCACCAUGACUCAUAGCUAUAACUUUUUAACUCUUUAGGGGGACUUUUGCAUUUGCCAUGGGAGAUGUCAUUUCAAUGCCUAAAAGUUAGAUAGAUUAAAGAUAGGAUGUAGCUAGGGACAUGCAUACUGGGAUAUUUCUGAGUGUGAAAGGGGUUUCUAUCAACAGUUAGACCCAGGACAAUAGGUCCGAGAACACCAAGAACAAGAACACCAAGAACCAAGAACAUGCUAGAGAAAGGGAGAUAUUUGUUUGUCUUUGCCAAAGAUGAUAGACUCUUUUCCUAGACUAGUGGUUUCCAAACUGGUUCCACAUUAGAAUUGCCUGGGAAACUUACAAAAAUACAGAAGCUAAGUUUCCUCACCCAGAGGUUUUGAUGAUUUGUCUGGAGUGGCAUAUGGGAAUUUCACUUUUAAAGAGUUCCCUGGAGACUGUACAGCAUAGUUUUAGUAUUUAAGUAUCUAAACCUGAAUCUCAAUAGGCAAAGACCUGGUGUCUCUUCUUCCAUGAGCUAGGUGUGUGAUUCUGGACAAAUAAUUUUCUGAUCUUCAGUGGCUUCAUCUAUAAAAAGAGGGGUUUAGUCUAAAAAAUACUCUAAGAUCUACUGAACUCUGAUAUUCUACAAUUCUGAUCGUUUGAAGAGCUCUUCUUUACAGGGAUUAAAAUCUCUUAAAGUCAGAACCUACUUCCCCUUGUCUUGGACAAUGACAGAACAUUAUUUGGAGGAAGGCUAAUCAAGUUCGUUUCUUAAAAGCCAAGGAUGUGUUGUAUAAACGAAGUGAUAGGACAUGCGCACAUAUUAAUUCUAGUGCUGUUUGAGAGCACCUAGCAGUUUUCAUGCCAGCUGAGAGGAUGAAAGGCCUGCAACCCCCAAAGACAUUAUGUAAUCUUUGCAAUCUAAUUCAGCACAACCUUCAACAACUGAAAUGUUGAAGGGCAGGUUUACUCUUCCCCAGAAUGAAUUUUUAUGGUUGCUUAUACUGAGAAGGCAGUGCAUUGUAUGUGUCUUGUUAAUGACCUAAUGCAGUGUGUUCUUCUGUCUAUAAAUGGAGACAAACUGAGAGAUGUACAACUGGUCUAAAAUAGAGGGCCUAGUUCAGGGUGUGAAAUGUAUUUUGUUAAGUCAUGUUAAGCCUCAGUUCCUCAUUCCUUUUAACAACAAACUCCUUUAAAGAUUUAAUGCUAGCAUUGAAUUACUUUUUAUAACCCCAUAAGAACCCUAUCCCCUCUGCUUCUUUUGUUCUGGCUGAGUUAAUAUAUCAGGUAGGAUACGCUGGAUCGUGGCACCUUCUCAAACUCAUCAACCAGCAAUCUUCCCUUCUUUUUUCAUAGAGUAGUCCCUAAUAAAUACAAACGAGAAGAAAUAUCUCUCUACUUAAUGUUUCACUCCUGAGUUGAUCAUAUAUAGCCUAUUUGUCCAAAAACAUUUUUGAGUUCCUACUGGGUUUUCAGCAGACCUUUAGAUUUAAACUGCCCUAAGUUUUUGUUUGUUUGUUUUUCUUCAUCUCUGUAUCUCGGCCUGUACAACCUCCAAAGAUGAUCCAUAUUGCAAAAUGAUGUCUUCUGCAUAGAUCUCAAACCAAAAUAAAAAUUCCCCUUCCUGGCAAUAGUAUCAGCUUAAGAAUUAGGAAAAAAUCAAUUGUGUUAAACUAAUUUAUAUUACUGUAUAAAUGACUAAAAAAUAUAUAUUGUUUCAGUAGGACAAUAAAAUGUAUGCAUUCUAUUUAGCUACUUAUAAGUAGCUAAAUUUUUUCCUCUUUCUGCAUGCUUUCUAAAAAUAUUCUGACUUAUUUCUUAUAUGCAUUUCUCACAAUAAGUUGAGUUCAUAUAUUAGGGUACUUGGUGCACAUUUCCCCAUGAAGUAGAGCUGCAGAUGAUAGCUAGCUUAUCCACCAGUCCUCCAAAUCCCCAUCUAACUCUUCUUGUAAUUUAUAAACAGAGGAUUAUUAAUAAAUGUUGCUUAAGUGAAUAACUGAAUAGAAGUUAGACAGGGAGGAGGGCUCAUCCAUGAAGAGGGUCUGUGGGUAGUAUUCAGUGCUAGAAGACACUUCCUCCUCUUUUCCAGGGCAAAACACUGCUCUGGGUAAAAUUAUAAUGCUCACAGAGCAUCUUUUGUAUCAUAACUCUCUACUCAUACUUUCCAACCUCUUUAGAUGCUCUCUUCAGUGCUUUCCUAGGUUUAUAAGUAAAAUCUUUGAUCUUGCCCUUCUCAUGGAAGGCCUCCUUGCUUCAAUAUGACCUGUUUCUCCCCUGUGAAAACCCAUCAUACCUCUCAAAUAAAAUCCAUCUUUUAUGAACUCUUCCUAAUCACCUUUUAGUAUGAAAAUAAGCUGAUUUAAACAUAAGACUCCAAGAUUGUUUGUGCUUUAAAGGAAGAUAUAUGUUAACCCAAAAUAUCUCCAACAGUGGAGUUUUAUGUAGUCUGGCUAAUUCAAUGUGACAAUUCAGGCAGAGUGAGAGAAUAUAUUUUCAAGGGGCCAAUCUAUAGAGUGUCUUGACUGUGUUUCUUUCUCCAGAGUUACCUCCCUUUCAUAUCAUUUCUUCUUUCUAGGUUUUAUUUGGGCGGAGGAAACAAUGGUUAAAUUAUGUAGAUCAAUUAUCUAGAAAAUAAAUAUCAAACAAAUUGUCUUGAAAGUAUUAUAAAAUUUAUUCAUGCUUUUUUGGAAUUGUUUUGAAUGUUUUUAUAAAUUUUUUCAUCCUUUUUUUCAGCAAUUCAAGAAUAAUUUGCUUUUUGCUAUGUUGCAGCAGUGAAGGCAGUGAGGGGCUGUGGUGUGAUCCAGGAGGCUGAGAAUUAUGCAGUGGGUGCUGUCACCUUGAAGACAUCAGCGUGAUCAGGCAGAUCAUCAUGUUUUUUAGGUACUGCAUUUCCUGGACACGAUCUUAAUUUUCUUAAUACCUCCACCGACAUUUCAAAUAGCGUCUCUAAUGCCCCAGAGACUUUUAUGCCCCUAAGGUAGUUUUCUUUCUUUUGUGAAGCAGAAGAAGGGAAAUUGUUAAAGGGAAUAUUUUAACUAAAUUUAUUUCCAUAAAACUAUCUUUGUCUUUAUAUCUCAUGGAAAGUGUUAGGUAGCCUCAGGAUUAUAUCUCCGUUGGAAAACUGUAGAUGUAAACCUUCUUGCUAUCUACAUACUUACAUAUUUUUCUGUUGUUAUUUACUUAUGAAUAGCAUUUUGAUUAUAGCAGAAAUAAAAUACAUUAAAUGACUAAGCUCAGAAAUAAGAAAAAAAGGUCAAUGGUGAUCAUUUAUUUGGAAACUAUGAUAUUUUAAUGAUAUUAAUGGUGUAAUUGACAUUUAGUUAAACAUAUUUCAUCGUAAGUAGAGCACUUUAACUCUUACGGUCCACUUAAAAUGUAAUCAUACGUUUAUGUAUUUCUAGUUAAUGUAUCAAACUCAACUGAGUAAUCAAUGUACAUCAUUUAUUUUGCUCCUAAGUUAAUACACUAAGUUAUGCUUUAAAAUUACUAAUUUGCUGCAAUAUCCAAUACUCUCUUUUAAGUCUUACGUCUGCAGAAAAGGAUAUAAACAUUUCAUGACACCAAACCCAAGUAUUUUUGAUGCCCUUGGCAGUGUCAGUUGAACAGACAGUGUCAUUUAAUGUUUGAGACAGCAUCUGAAUUCCUUUUAUUCUUAAAAUUCUAUUUUAAAAUGCAGUUUUUGGAAAGUUAAUGUGAAUAGAAAAAUUUCUAACAUUUUAUGUGCAUGUGUUUUGUUUGUUACAGGCUUAGCAUCUCAAAUCUGAAAAUUCGAAAUCUGAAAUGUUUCUAAAAUUCAACUCUUUUGAGUGCUGAUAUGACUUUCAAAGGAAAAGCUCAUUGGAGCAUUUCAGAUUUUGGAUUUUUGGAUUUGGGAUGUUUAACCAGGGUAAAAUAUAGAAUGCAAAUAUUCCAAAAUCUGAAUAAAAUUGAAAUCUGAAAUGCUUAUGGUUCCAAGCAUUUUGGAUAAGGGAUAAUUAAGCUGUAUAACUUAUAAAACUGAAUAUAACAAAAUUUCCCAACAUGUGGAAAAUGAUGUCUUUUUUCAAAAAUGUCAAUAGCAGAUACAUGGUACAGUAAGUUAGGGGAAAAAAUGAGGUUUCAUAUCUUCUAGUUUCCUAAUUAAAAGGAGCCCAUUCUGGGUUGGAAGAAAGUGUCAGUAAGAUCAUUUCUCCUAUUUGAAAAUCAUACAAAGCUUGUCAGAGUGACUCAGGCCAGGAGUGUAGCUGGGCGUGUAGCUAAAUGAUAUCUCCCCACAUCUAUAUAAUAAGCUGUUACCUGCUUUAAAAGGAAAAGCUCUCAGCAUGACUCUAAUGUUGCAUUUCUGGAAUACAGCUUGAAAAGCUCUUCUCAGGGUUGAACAGAGCAUGAAGGUAAUGGUUAUUAUCUACUCACAUUAAAAAAAAAAAAAAAGAAAGAAACCACCACAGAAAACUACUUACUGUCUUUAGGCUCUACUUUCAAAAGUGCCCUUUAUGAACGCUUUUACACUGUUGAUGGGAGUGUAAAUU
rnacentral:lncRNA from 1 species